AAAGAUCCGUCGGAUGGGGAUAGGCUCGCGUGACAUUAGCUAGACGGCGGGGUAACGGCCCACCGUGGCGACGAUGUCUAGGGGUUCUGAGAGGAAGGUCCCCCACACUGGAACUGAGACACGGUCCAGACUCCUACGGGAGGCAGCAGUGAGGAAUAUUGGUCAAUGGCCGGAAGGCUGAACUAGCCAUGCCGCGUGAAGGUCAGUGCCCUAUGGGCGUUAAACUUCUUUUGUGCGGGAGCAAUAAUGGUCACGUGUGGCCAGACGAGAGUACCGUACGAAUAAGCAUCGGCUAACUCCGUGCCAGCAGCCGCGGUAAUACGGGGGAUGCAAGCGUUAUCCGGAUUUAUUGGGUUUAAAGGGUGCGUAGGCUGUGAGGUAAGUCAGCGGUGAAAUGCCCCCGCUCAACGGGGUGAAGUGCCAUUGAUACUGCCUUGCUGGAAUGCGGAUGCCGUGGGAGGAAUGUGUGGUGUAGCGGUGAAAUGCAUAGAUAUCACACAGAACACCGAUUGCGAAGGCAUCUCACGAAUCCGCGAUUGACGCUGAUGCACGAAAGCGUGGGUAUCAAACAGGAUUAGAUACCCUGGUAGUCCACGCUGUAAACGAUGAUGACUAACCGUCGGCGAUACACAGUCG
rnacentral:rRNA from 1 species